rfam:Anopheles merus strain MAF unplaced genomic scaffold supercont2.2, whole genome shotgun sequence.
CGUAGGUCAACUCGGCAAUGGGAUGCGGGAUUCGAAGCCCUCCGAGGGAUAAUAUAGGCUCUCCCAUCCAACUCCUAUUCCGACACGUCCUCGUCGUGCAGAGUGAUAACAUGUGCCUCCAUAUAUCCUAGCUCGGGUACACGGGCUAGAUCCAACCCCUUGGGCAGAUGGUGGCAUAUUGCGAACCAGGAGGGA